CAUCGAUGAAGAACGCAGCGAAAUGCGAUAAGUAAUGUGAAUUGCAGAAUUCAGUGAAUCAUCGAAUCUUUGAACGCAUCUUGCGCUCCUUGGUACUCCGAGGAGCAUGCCUGUUUGAGUGUCAU
rnacentral:rRNA from 2 species